rnacentral:rRNA from 1 species
CUUCGGGCUCGACCUUGCCCUCCUCCUGACCGCUAUUCUCCUAGCCGAUACGGCCUUUCGGUUGUACUUGAGCCUACCUCUUAUCGUGAUGCUGUUGUUCAUCCUGAAUGGCAGUUUGCGAUGGCAGAGGAGAUUGCCGCACUUGAGCGCAAUGGCACAUGGGAUCUGGUUUCUCUUCCUCCCCGUGUUCGUCCCAUCACUUGUAAGUGGGUCUAUAAGAUUAAGACUCGCUCUGAUGGUUCUCUUGAGCGUUAUAAAGCUCGUCUUGUGGCUCGUGGCUUUCAGCAGGAGCAUGGUCGUGAUUAUGAUGAGACUUUUGCUCCUGUGGCCCAUAUGACCACUGUCCGCACA